UCUUUUUCUUCCUCUGUUCUCACUGAGCUCUUGAACGGUGGGAAAUCUUCUGCAGGCAUCGCAAACGGCCGCAACAUUUUCUCCAUCUUUUCUAGAGUAAGGUAUGACUAGCCAGGAGCUUUAAUUUGAUGUUCAGGUAAUUGCUAAUUUUGACAUAAGAAAAAAAAAGAAGUUUUAUAGUGAAGCCGCAUGUCAAGUUGCAACUUUAGGCUAUGUGAACUUAAUUUCAUAAGAAGUUUUAUGGUGAAGCCGGAGCUUUGUGUAAAAGAAAAAAAAAGAAGAACAACUUGGUCUAUACAUGUUCAUAUUCCUUCAAAAGAAUAACACGAGCGUGACAAUUGCGAACCAUUAUAUAUUCGGUAGUUCUUACCACCCCUGUUUUAGUUGAGCAUCAUAGUUUUUUCCACUUUUGGGAUGUAUUUGAAUUGAGUCGUUACUUGAGAAAAUCUUUAUCCAUUCCUUUGUA
rnacentral:lncRNA from 1 species